CAUAUACUCCCUUCGUUCGGAAAUACUUAUCAUCAAAAUGGAUAAAAGGGGAUGUAUCUUGAUGUAUUUUAGUUCUAGAUACAUCUUUUUUUGUCCAUUUUGAUGACAAGUAUUUUCGGACGGAGUGAGUAGUAU
rnacentral:pre_miRNA from 1 species